rnacentral:tRNA from 27 species
AAAAUCCGUUGACUUUU